rnacentral:rRNA from 1 species
UACGUAGGGGGCUAGCGUUGUCCGGAUUUAUUGGGCGUAAAGAGCGCGUAGGCGGCCGAGUAAGUCCGACGUGAAAUCUGGAGGCCCAACCUCCAGCGGUCGUUGGAAACUACUCGGCUAGAGUCCGGAAGAGGAGAGUGGAAUUCCUGGUGUAGCGGUGAAAUGCGCAGAUAUCAGGAAGAACACCGAUGGCGAAAGCAGCUCUCUGGGACGGUACUGACGCUGAGGCGCGAAAGCGUGGGGAGCAAACAGG